rnacentral:rRNA from 1 species
AUGGACUUCGUGACUAGAUUUCCCAAGUCCAAGCGUGGAAAUGAUGCUAUCUUCGUUGUCAUUGACAAGCUUUCUAAAGUGGCUCAUUUUCUUCCAAUCAAAGAAUCUAUCACAGCAGCUCAGUUGGCAGAGCUAUACACCUCCAGGAUUGUCUCCUUGCACGACAUUCCACAAUUGAUUUCUUCAGAUCGUGGAAGCAUCUUCACUUCUAAGUUCUGGGACUCCUUCCAGAAGGCCAUGGGCACCAACAUUCGCUUCAGCACAGCUUUCCAUCCUCAAACUAGUGGCCAAGUCGAGCGAGUCAAUCAAAUUCUUGAAGAUAUGCUCAGGGCUUGUGUCAUUUCCUUUGGCAUGAAAUGGGAAGAUUGUCUUCCAUAUGCCGAAUUCUCCUACAACAACAGCUUCCAAGCGAGUUCGGGCAAGGCCCCAUUCGAG